AUGCCGCAUUUCAAGAUGAUUUUUAUUGCCCACAGACUAGGAGAUUCCCAGGCAGAGGAACCCCAUGGGUCACCAGCGCAGCUGUUUUGGCUGAUGCGGCUGUUUUGCCGGAGCCCUGGCACAGCAGUUCUCCAUACCAAAUACACGGGUCUGGGUGCUGUUUUAGCUUGCGAUUGGAGCUCCAGGGAGGCAGAGUUGUCCAUUCAUCUGAUUAAAAAGGGGACUGAAACAGGGAGCCAGGCCAGGAGAUUUCUGGGCAGAAAAGCGCCACGAAUCUUAGUGCCGCUGUUUCAGCUGGCACAGUGGGUCUCUGCAUGGGAAAUCACACAGAUCCCAGCGCCUUUUCAACAGAAACAGUUUACUAGAACUGUGCUCUUCUGCCUGAGUGAGGACAAGAAGAACAUCAUCCUGGAGGAGGGCAAGGAGAUCCUGGUGGGCAAUGUGGGCCAAACUGUCAAUGACCCCAUGCCACCUUUGUCAAGAUGCUGCCAGAUAAGGAAUGCCUCUAUGCCUUUUAUGAUGCAAGCUAUGAGACCAAGGAGAGCAAGAAGGAGGACCUGGUGUUUAUCUUCUGGGCUCCUGAGUCUGCGCCCCUUAAGAGCAAAAGGAUCUAUGCCAGCUCGAAGGACACCAUCAAGAAGAAGCUGACAGGGAUCAAGCAUGAAUUGCAAGCAAACUGCUACGAGGAGGUCAAGGACCGCUGCACCCUGGCAGAGAAGCUGGGGGGCAGUGCCGUCAUCUCCCUGGAGGGCAAGCCUUUGUGAGCCCCUUCUGGGCCCCUGCCUGGAGCAUCUGGCAGCCCCACACCUGCCCUUGGGGGUUGCAGUCUGCCCCCUUCCUGCCAGACCAGAGGGGCUGGGGGAAUCCCAGCAGGGGGAGGGCAAUCCCUUCACCCCAGUUGCCAAACAGACUCCCCACCCCCUGGAUUUUCCUCCUCCCUCCAUCCCUGACAGUUCUGGCCUUCCCAAACUGCUUUUGAUCUUCUGAUUCCUCUUGGGUUGAAGCAGACCAAGUUCCCCUGAGGCCUCCCAGUUGUGGGGGGAGCCUGUAUUUUUUUUUUAACAACAUACCCAAUCCCCACUUGUUCCUCCCCCUUCCCAUGCUGUCAACUUCUAACCGCAAUAGUGACUCUGUGCUUGUCUGUUUAGUUCUGUGUAUAAAUGGAAUGUUGUGGAGAUGAA